GACGAACGCUGGCGGCGUGCCUAAUACAUGCAAGUAGAACGCACAGGAUGCACCGUAGUUUACUACACCGUAUUCUGUGAGUUGCGAACGGGUGAGUAACGCGUAGGUAACCUGCCUGGUAGCGGGGGAUAACUAUUGGAAACGAUAGCUAAUACCGCAUAAGAGUAGAUGUGCAUGACAUUUGCUUAAAAGGUGCAAAUGCAUCACUACCAGAUGGACCUGCGUUGUAUUAGCUAGUAGGUGAGGUAACGGCUCACCUAGGCGACGAUACAUAGCCGACCUGAGAGGGUGAUCGGCCACACUGGGACUGAGACACGGCCCAGACUCCUACGGGAGGCAGCAGUAGGGAAUUUCGGCAAUGGGGGGAACCCUGACCGAGCAACGCCGCGUGAGUGAAGAAGGUUUUCGGACCGUAAAGCUCUGUUGUUAAGGAAGAACGAGUGUGAGAAUGGAAAGUUCA
rnacentral:rRNA from 1 species